GCGAAGGCCACCUACGAUGCCCCCUUCCUGGGUGGGGAACCCAGAAGUUCACAUCACCACUCGUAGUCCAUGCUCUGGGCUGCAACACCGUCGCCUAAGACUCCGAAGCCCUCUUCCAGGGACAGUGAGGGAGGCUUAUGGAUAUGGGGAACUGGUCCCGACAACACAGGGGACUGUUGUGAUGCUGCACGGCAACACGGGAGGUGAGAAGUCAUUACUGCAACUGACUGCAUUCAGUCUGACCAUCACGGGCAUAGGCUGAGAGGUCUGUUUUCAUCUGGUCUAAGAAUACAUCCAGG